rnacentral:rRNA from 1 species
CCUGGCUCAGAAUCAACGCUGGCGGCGUGCCUAACACAUGCAAGUCGAACGAGAAAGGGUAGCAAUACCUGAGUAAAGUGGCGCACGGGUGAGUAACACGUGACUAACCUACCCUGGGAGUGGGGGGAUAACUGAGGGAAACCUUAGCUAAUACCGCAUAACACCUACGGGUCAAAGGAGCAAUUCGCUUCAGGAGGGGGUCGCGGCCGAUUAGUUAGUUGGCGGGGUAAUGGCCCACCAAGACUGUGAUCGGGUAUCCGGCCUGAGAGGGCGCACGGACACACUGGAACUGAAACACGGUCCAGACUCCUACGGGAGGCAGCAGUGGGGAAUUUUGCGCAAUGGGGGGAAACCCUGACGCAGCAACGCCGCGUGGAGGAUGAAGUCCUUCGGGACGUAAACUCCUUUCGAUCGGGACGAUUAUGACGGUACCGGAAGAAGAAGCCCCGGCUAACUUCGUGCCAGCAGCCGC